rnacentral:tRNA from 1 species
GUUUUUAUAGUUUAAAUAAAACCUUGGUCUUGUAAACCAAAAAUGAAUGUUAAUUCUUAAAACA